rnacentral:lncRNA from 1 species
CACUCCGGCGAGCCCUAAGCUCCCUUGCCCUGGGCACCGGGGCCACCGAGCUCCGGCAGAGCGCACUUACCAUCAAACGAAUUGAGACCAGAAACCCGGCGCGGUGGGUUUCCCGGGAAGCCUGGCCAAGGGCCAAGGCCAGCCGGGCCUGGGGGUAGCUUAGUGAGCUAAACAGGCCAACCUUGGUGCACCUCUAGCAAACACAUCCACCUUUAACAAACUGGCCAGGUCUUUGGCUGGCCCGGGUCUCUCAGGGUCUGUGUGAAAACGGCACCCAUUAACUUGCCUGGGCUUGUUUCCCCAUCGAAAAUUCGGAAGGGCAAUAUUCUCCGCGUGAGUUGUAAAAAUCCUGAUUAGAAACUGUCAAUGCCUGUGUAAAUGUGAGGCAUAAUUGCCACUCACCAGCAGCCGGCUCCAUCAGCGUCUGCACAGCUCACGAACAGGACAGAGGCAAGAUGAGUGUUCAGAUAUAUGCACAGGUAUAUCACACGUAUGUAGAUGUGUCUGUCUCUCUAGGCUCAGAUGCACACACGUGUGCAUGUACAUGCGCACAGAUAUGGGAUUCUCUCGUGUAGAUGUGUCUGUGAACACUCCGCAUGCCGACGCUACUGUUUGCGUCUGAAGGCAGAAUGUGCACGCCGUUCAGCUGACUGUUUCUCUCAAACUGAGUCAGUGCCACCUGGGGAAGUAGGAUCUCAGGUGCUGUUCCUGGGUGUGAGAAAGCCCGCAUCCGGUCAGUGCUUCGGCGCCCUGGAGCUCCUUUAUCUCUCAUCAGACGGCCGGUGGCCAGCUCCAGUUUCAAUAGGGACCAGGAUCCCCGAGUCGGCUGGAGGGAGCAAGGGUGGAGAGAAGGAAGAGGUGGAGGGCACUCCGGCACGCGAAGCCUGGGGACCUCACUUCCCUGGUCUGUCGCCUUUCCUCUUCCUCUCCAGGUUGCGUCUCUGUAGAAGAUUAAAGAGGGGCCCGGAUCUUCCAUUCGGCUCUGGAAAGGCGGCCCAGGCCCCUACUCCACAAGCCAUCAUGAAGGGAGGGGAACCGAAGAUUCGUCAUCAGCUUGGGAAAACGUGCAGCUGCAGCACUGGCCGGGGGCCCCAGGGCACAACCUGGUGUUCAUGGGAGGCGCGCAGCGUGGCUGCUGGAGACCCUGCUAUCUGCUCAUGCAGUUGCCAGGCUCGUCUUCCCCUUCUUUCUUUGGAAUAG